rnacentral:lncRNA from 1 species
AUCUGCUCACACUUCCGGAGCACUUCAGAUCACCCCCAAUUUUUGGUGGGGGUUUGUGUUGCUUAGUCUUUAGUUUUCUAUCUUGUGUCUUGUGUACUAUAAUUUGUCUGUUUGUCUUUUUAUUUUUUAGCCAUGACGUUGCCAGUUUAUUUUCAAUCUAUGAGUUUGACUGUCCCUCUGGUAUCUUUUGUCCCCCUUUGACAAUAUAGUUUUUAUUGAUGCAUUUUGUCAAAUAAUCUAACCAAUUCUUUGGUAGCUGUCUUUUAUCAAAUACUGUUUUGUUCUGUUUUGGGUAACAUAAUACGUGUUAAUAUUCUUCAUCAAAAUAAAACAAUAAUGCCAAUAUCCCACUUAAGGCACUACUUUGGUUGCUUUUUUUUAUUAGCAUGAUAUAUUGCAGAUUGUAUCGUUACGUCGAAGGUACCCAUUCUGGCUUUUAACUUGACAGGAGAAGAAUAUGUACAAUGGACUUACUUUCAUU